UACGUAGGGCGCAAGCGUUGUCCGGAAUCAUUGGGCGUAAAGAGCUCGUAGGCGGCCUGUUGCGUCCGCUGUGAAAUCCCGGGGCUUAACCCCGGGCGUGCAGUGGAUACGGGCUGGCUGGAGGCAGGCAGGGGAGAACGGAAUUCCCGGUGUAGCGGUGAAAUGCGCAGAUAUCGGGAGGAACACCGGUGGCGAAGGCGGUUCUCUGGGCCUGUACUGACGCUGAGGAGCGAAAGCGUGGGGAGCGAACAGGAUUAGAAACCC
rnacentral:rRNA from 1 species